rnacentral:rRNA from 1 species
GAUGAACGCUAGCGGCAGGCCUAAUACAUGCAAGUCGAACGAGAUUAAGAGGCUUGCUUCUUAUGAAAGUGGCGCACGGGUGCGUAACGCGUAUGCAACCUACCUUAAUCAGGGGGAUAGCCCGAAGAAAUUCGGAUUAAGACCGCAUAAAAACACAGGAUAGCAUUAUCCAAUGUUCAAAUAUUUAUAGGAUUAAGAUGGGCAUGCGUGUCAUUAGCUAGUUGGCGGGGUAACGGCCCACCAAGGCGACGAUGACUAGGGGAUCUGAGAGGAUGACCCCCCGCACUGGUACUGAGACACGGACCAGACUCCUACGGGAGGCAGCAGUAAGGAAUAUUGGUCAAUGGAGGGAACUCUGAACCAGCCAUGCCGCGUGCAGGAAGACAGCCCUCUGGGUCGUAAACUGCUUUUAUUCGGGAAUAAACCUUUCUACGUGUAGGAAGCUGAAUGUACCGAAGGAAUAAGGAUCGGCUAACUCCGUG